rnacentral:sRNA from 1 species
AAACAUGCAGUAGUGCAACGCGCCGCCCACAUUCAUGUUCCGGCGAUGGUCAUCCCU